rnacentral:misc_RNA from 1 species
UGGCGAGGGAGCUUGCUCCCGCUGGGCUGCAGCCCUAUAAGCGAUGAGCGCUUCGCACUCAAGCGGGAGCAAGCUCCCUCGCCA